UACGUAGGGGGCUAGCGUUGUCCGGAAUCAUUGGGCGUAAAGCGCGCGUAGGCGGCCCGGUAAGUCCGCUCUGAAAGUCCAGGGCUCAACCCUGGAAAGCGGGUGGAUACUGCCGGGCUAGAAUCCGGAAGAGGCGAGUGGAAUUCCUGGUGUAGCGGUGGAAUGCGCAGAUAUCAGGAGGAACACCAAUAGCGAAGGCAGCUCGCUGGGACGGUAUUGACGCUGAGGCGCGAAAGCUAGGGGAGCGAACAGG
rnacentral:rRNA from 1 species